CAGGAGAAACACCUUUCAGCUGCGAAUUUUGUGAUUUCAAAACUGCUCAUUCAAGUUCUUUGAAAGCACAUAUCAGAACACAUACAGGAGAAAAACCUUUCAGCUGCGAAUUUUGUGAUUUCAAAUCUGCUUAUUCAAGUUCUAUGAAAAGACAUAUCAGAACACAUACAGGAGAAAAACCUUUCAGCUGCAAUUUUUGUGAUUUCAAUACUGCUCGUUCAAGUUCUUUGAAGGCACAUAUCAGAACACAUACAGGAGAAACUCCCUUUAGCUGCGAUUUUUGUGAUUUCAAAACUGCUCAUUCAAAUACUUUGAAAGCACAUAUUAGAACACAUACAGGAGAAACUUCUUCUAGCUAAGUAUUCUGUGACCAUACAUGCACUCAUUCAAAUGUUACAUCUAAUUCCAUGCUAAGAAAACACUUGCUGAAAAUGUCUCACAUUAGACUGCUGAGUUAAGAAGUGAGCACCUUAUUAAUGUUGGUUUCUAUCCUUGUCCAUCAUUGGACAAAGCAGAUAGCUCUAUCCUUCUCUAUACUCUUUCUGUUCUCAAUUUUUUGUAUACUAUGAAUAACCAGUUUAUUAUUAACACGAUUCAAUCACCAAUAUUUUGAACGAGGAUGACUCCAAUCAUAGCCAUCUGCUAGGCCUAAAUAGAAGGACUUCUCCCACAUAGGCAAGGGUGAGUUGACCCUUUAGAAUAACUCCACUCUACUGGACACAUACACUUAUACU